rnacentral:lncRNA from 1 species
GAAAACAAGCGCGGCAAUAUUUCCCUCGUUUUUAUUCCCUUUUCCUCCAAAAUUUCCGUCUUUUGUUUUUUACUUUCACUCACUUUCCCCAAAUACCAUCAACCCUAAUAUAACCACCCUAAAUGCUCAAUAGGUGCGGCCAGAUAAAAUCCAAAAAAAGUCUGCUUUCAAUUUCUUUCGUGAUGGUUGCUUGAUUAAGCUUGAAACCAUCCACUGGUAUGAUCGUUGAUUAGUGUUUUGAGUCGGGAAGUUCGAAUGGGGGUUGCUUAAUUAAGGAUGGAAGUUGUAAGUUCCUUCCCCUCUAAUUUCAUUUGUUUCUAGUUUAGGGUUUUGAUUCUCUUAUAGCUUUGGAUAAUGCUCUUAAAAUAGGAGGUCGUACCUCGGGUCACCACUCCCUCAAAGCAAAAUUAGGGCUCAAUUUCAUGCGAAGUCAUCACUGAAUUCUCAAGAACCUGAGUUUUCCAUGUUGUAUUUGAGUAUAAUAUUUCAGUUUUCGAGACAAAUUUUAAUUUCAAUAUUCACUAACUUUAGUAGUGUAUUUUGGUGGUUUGUGGUUGAACUUGUGAUGGGUAUUUAGGUUGAAGAAUUUGAGGAAAAGAAAAUUUUCCAUGGAAAAGUCAGAGCUAUAAUAUUUAUCUAAACUGGAAAUCUUUUCCACUAUAGUUUUGUAGUUUGCUUUAUUAGUUUGAGUCAUUAAAAUAGUUGCUUCCAAUUUAGUCUCUUUAAAAGCAAAACAGAGACCUAUGUUUGGUAAGAAAAGUCCAGUAGCAUCUGCAGUUGGCAUGUGUUUGGUGGCAUCUGCAGUAUAUAGGUGUAUAGUGUGUGUGGGUGAAUAACUUAACAGAGGAGCAUUUGAAAUUGUUUUGUAGCAAUCAGUUGCUUCAGAAGCUCUGCUAAAUUGGCAAUUAUCUCUAAGAAUUGUAGUUGAAGUUCGAUAGAAGUACCAUCAAAUUGUUAUGUUGUAGUUUUAGAAAACUAAAUAUGUUAAUAGUAAUUCGAUGACCAUGACAUCUGUCUGUUUUGCAUUCUUCUUCAUGAUGGUUAUGUUGGAGUAGGUUUCUGUUAUUCGAUGAAAGUGGCACUUACUAUAAGAAGCAAAAAAGAAUAAUAUCAACUACUUGAUGGUUAUGUUGGAGUAGGUUUCUGUUAUUUUCUUGCACACCCUUUCGUAAAUGACAAGCUUGUGCAUUAUUUUUCAUUAGAUGUGCCUAUAGUGUUUUUCAAAUAGAAAACGAACAUCUGAUUGAUAACUGAUUGGUUGACAUCUUGUAAUGAUUUGUUAGGCAGAAUAGCAAAAACAUGGCAUCACUUCUUGUCUUGAAGUCCUAUAGAAAGAAAGACAUUUCUUUGGUGUUGCAUUUAUAUUUUUAAUAAGGUAUUAUGCUGCUUAAUUACUAUUUCCUUCGAGUAAGGUGAUAUGAAUAUCUCAGCUCAAAAUAGCCUCCUUUUUUCCAUCUCAGGAAGGAAGGCGCAAAAUUUAUUGGAGAUGAUCUAUUGAGUGGUUAGUUCCUAACUGUUUUUUGGAAGAUCUUUUGUGGGUUCCUUAAUUCUGGAAUAAGGGCAUAAAUGGUUAGAGAUGGUACCUAUUUAUUUUACUUUAACAAUUAAACUUAUAUGUAACUAUUCUUUCUUGUUUAAUUAAGUUAUUUAUACUUAAAAGUUUUUUCAUACCUAGAUGGCUGAGACAGGGAUAAAGUCAGGACGAGGACAAAUUUGUCUUGCUAUGCAUAAAAAAUAAGAUUGGAUCAUAUGUGACUGAGGGGGCAAGAGAAAU